rnacentral:sRNA from 1 species
UAAUUACAGCGUAACAAUAUCUGUUAUGAUUUCGUGCUUGCACGAAAAACAUAACAGAUAUUGAUUACGCGCCCCUGCAUGAGCAAGUAGUGGGGCAGAGCCCCUAUGGAUUGCGAAUGCAGGGAGGAUCGCGUGAGCGCGAAGCGCGGAGCGAUCCGUAAUUA